rnacentral:lncRNA from 1 species
UCUCCAAAGGAAGUUAAGCAGGAACCCAGUGUCUUACUGAACUGGUCCUUUUGGGCUUGCUGCCCUGCCCGUUGGAGAUCUAAACACUUUUCCUUUUCCUUUCCCUUUCCCUACCCCUUUCCCCUUCCCUUACUCCUUUCCCUUUCCCUACCCUUUUCCCCUUCCCUUACUCCUUUCCCUUUCCCUUUCCCCUUCCUCUUCCCUUUUUCCUUCCCCCCACUUUUUUUUUUUUUUUUUUGAUCUCCCUCCUAGGAGCUUGAAACAAGAUCUAGGUAGCCUUUAGGCACACAUAAAUUCAAACUUGUGAAACAAACAAAAAAACAAAACAACAACAACAACAACAAAAAAAAAAACUUCUGUAGUGGCAGAUUUGUCGGGAAGUAUCUAAACUCAGAGAAAGUUUUCAUUUCUGCCCCCAGAUUUUCAGUGAUUCCCAGAUUUGCAGUUGUGAUGGUGCCCAGGUAUGGUGAUGCCUGGGCAGGUAGGUCCCAUGCAAAUGCUAGCAGGGUCCAAACGAAGGGUUUGUCUAUAGCUUCACCUCCAAGGGAACCUGGCAUCAUUGGAUCACUCACCAACACCUGAUUCCUAGCAGAAUGCAGAAGAAUCUCUUUUAUUUUUAAGAUGUGGAAGCAGUAAACCCCUUUUAUCUAAGAAAGUUACAGCUGGGAAGUAGUAGGUCUCCUAGCAACCCACGAGCAAGCAAAACCACACGUUCUGCCCCUCCAGGAAGCACAGUCUGUGGGCUCCACCGAGUACUCCAGCAUGUGAGCAGGAGUUGGAGCCAAAGCAAUGCUGGAGUCAAGCCCAAGCAACACCCUUCAAGGGAAGGAUUAUUUCUUCUUUCAAACACUGCUCCUUCUCCUCCUACACCCCUCUGCCAAAAAUAACGUUGGAAGCAGCAACAUAAAUGACCGUACACGUGGUAGCAGCGAUUUUGGAUCCCAGCUGGCACCAGCCCAAGAGGCCGGGAGAUGGGAAAAGUAUAUUUCCAGCUUUGGUGUUUUGUGUACGCUAACAUGCACAGGGGGGUCCCGGAGGUGAUUUGGGUUUCCUCUCUACAGGUGCACUGACUGCUUCCACAGGAGCUGGUGAGGGUGACAGGGACCUUCUGGAGUGGUGCAGGAUGGGCUCCUGCCUGCAGCCUGGCUGCCAAUGGACAGGGACUGAAGGCAGCAAGGCAACGUGCCACAGGGAUGCCCUGUGCAGCGGGGGAGCAGGCAGGAGGCAGGGCACACAGCCAGUGCUGGCAGGGGAAGGAGGGAAAGCGUCCUGGGGAGCACGGAGGAACAGGAAUGGGCACGGGACGAUCCUGAGCUGAAAGCUUUAGGGUUGGCCAAAACUGCUCCAGAGAGGGCAC